rnacentral:rRNA from 1 species
CCAGACUCCUACGGGAGGCAGCAGUGGGGAAUAUUGCACACUGGGGGAAACCCUUCUGCAGCAACUCCGCUUGAGUGAAGAAGUCUUUCGGUAUGUCCCGCUCUAUCCGCCUUUAAGAGAAUGCCGGUACCUGACUCCUCCUCCCCGGCUCCCUCCGUGCCAGCCUCCUCGGUAAUACUUCUUUGGCGGGCUUUCUCCGGAUUUACUGGGUUGAAAGGGAGCGUAGACGGUUCUGCAAGUCUGAAGGGAAAGCCCGGGGAGUAACCGCGGAACGGCUUUGGAAACUGUGGAACUGGAGUGCUGGAGAGGCAAGCGGAAUGCCUAGUGUAGCGGUGAAAUGCGUAGAGAGGAGGAGGAACACCAGUGGCGAAGGCGGCUUGCUGGACAGUAACUGACGUUGAGGCUCGAAAGCGUGGGGAGCAAACAGGAUUAGAUACCCGUGUA